rnacentral:misc_RNA from 1 species
AACGCACAUUGCGCCUCCCGUAACUGUGAGGCAUGCCUGUCUGAGCGUCAUUUAAACCAAUAAACCCAUGUUUGGGUUUGUGUUGGGCAUCGCCGAGUCUGGCGCAGCCUCGAAGGAAUCUGUCUGGCGAGCGGAUGAGAUCCCAGUAGGGCCGACCGUGAAGCCUGGACAAUGAAACUCUUGAGUUGACCUCAGAUCAGGUAGGACUACCGCCUGAACUUAA